rnacentral:tmRNA from 2 species
GGGGGCGAAACGGAUUCGACGGGGAUAUAUAAGCUCAACGUUGCAUGCCGAGCUUCUGUCUGCUCGUAAAACCGAUGGAAUUAAAAUAUAAUCGCAGACGAUUAUAACUACGCAUUAGCAGCUUAGUCUGCUUUGCCGUUCCCCCGGUCCUCGCCCACUGGACCGGACCGGAGCGCCGACUUCGUGGGCUGGUCAGCGCGACGUGCCUGUCGUUUCGCUGACGAGACUUUUACAGGUUAGCGCCGGGAUAUCCGGGUUCCGGGUGAGCCCCUGGCGCGAAACUCAAACCUGGAACUAAGCAUGUAGAUACGUGAGGGGAGUAUUUUCGGACGCGGGUUCGACUCCCGCCGCCUCCACCA